CUCGGUUCUAUCUUUGUUCUUCAUGUAUUCAUGCAAGAAAGCUGCCAAUUCAUCAUUUAUACCCCUUGCAUCCAAGAAUUCAUAUAGUGAAUCUUGCAGUUCAUCAUCCAAUUCCUUGAAGUCAGGACCAACAUAAGCUUGAGCCGGCAUCUUGUCACUUGUGCCUAUGAAAAACUUUGUAAUUUCAAUCGUAUCUGGCCAAGCUGAGCACAUGAUCUCUAAGGAAUCACCAUUACCCUUGGAGAUAUUAACAAUCAAAGUAAUGUGAAGCUGCACAUUGUCCUUGGUGCUAUCACCAGAUUUUGCAAUUGGAACAGCUCCAUCAAACAUGGUUGCUUCUACCUUAAUCUCCUCAUUCCUAGCAAAUUUCCUUUUUAAUAUAACCCAUUGCUCCCCUGGCCGUUCAUCAAUUGUGAAGGAAUCAAACUUGGUAACAGGCUGCCUAGAAGGGGCAUGUUCCAACUCAUAUUGCAUUUCGUUACGAAGAAGCCUGAGGAUUUUAUCUCGAAAGGCUGUUUUGC
rnacentral:misc_RNA from 1 species